rnacentral:rRNA from 1 species
CGGCGGACGGGUGAGUAACGCGUGGGUAACCUGCCUCAUACAGGGGGAUAACAGUUGGAAACGGCUGCUAAUACCGCAUAAGCGCACAGUACCGCAUGGUACGGUGUGAAAAACUCCGGUGGUAUGAGAUGGACCCGCGUCUGAUUAGGUAGUUGGUGGGGUAACGGCCUACCAAGCCGACGAUCAGUAGCCGACCUGAGAGGGUGACCGGCCACAUUGGGACUGAGACACGGCCCAAACUCCUACGGGAGGCAGCAUUG